rnacentral:rRNA from 1 species
ACGCUGGCGGCGUGCUUAAUACAUGCAAGUCGAGCGGGGUUACUGCGACAGAUCCCUUCGGGGUGACGUUGCUUUAACCUAGCGGCGGACGGGUGAGUAACGCGUGGGUAACCUACCCUAAAGCUCGGGAUAACAGUGGGAAACCGCUGCUAAUACCGGAUGACUUUAACCUAUGGCAUCAUGGGUUAAAGAAAGAUUUAUCGCUUUAGGAUGGGCCCGCGUCCCAUUAGCUAGUUGGUGAGGUAACGGCUCACCAAGGCGACGAUGGGUAGCCGGCCUGAGAGGGUGUACGGCCACACUGGGACUGAGACACGGCCCAGACUCCUACGGGAGGCAGCAGUGGGGAAUCUUCCGCAAUGGGCGCAAGCCUGACGGAGCAAUGCCGCGUGAGUGACGAAGGCCUUCGGGUUGUAAAACUCUGUCCUUAGGGAAGAACGGUCUAUAUGUGAAUAAUGUAUAGAAAUGACGGUACCUAAGGAGGAAGCCCCGGCUAACUACGUGCCAGCAGCCGCGGUAACACGUAGGGGGCGAGCGUUGUCCGGAAUCACUGGGCGUAAAGAGCACGUAGGCGGAUUAUUAAGUCAGAUGUGAAAACUCU